rnacentral:rRNA from 1 species
UCAAGGAAGAAAGGGCGUACGGAGAAUGCCUGGGCACAGAGAGGCGAUGAAGGACGCAGCGAACAGCGAAAUGCGGCGGCGAGCGGUAAGCACGCGAUGACCCGCCGAUAUCCGAAUGGGGAAACCCCUCCGCUCAAGAAGCGGAGACCGCAUGACGACCGUCAUGACGGGGCAAUACGCAGGGAACUGAAACAUCUAAGUACCUGCAGGAAGAGAAAGAGAAGUCAAUUCCGUAAGUAGCGGCGAGCGAAAGCGGAGGAGCCCAAACCGGACACAGUCCGGGGUUGUAGGACCGCCGGUAAAGAUGACAUGAAGAGUCAGGAGAAUCCCAUGGGAAGGGGAUCCGAAGAGGGUGAGAGACCCGUAUCCGAAGGCUCGACAUGCGUCGAGGCGGCACCUGAGUACGGCGGGGCACGUGGAAUCCUGUCGGAAUCAUCGGGGACCAUCCCGAAAGGCUAAACACUACUCUGUGACCGAUAGCGAACCAGUACCGUGAGGGAAAGGUGAAAAGAACCCCGGGAGGGGAGUGAAAGAGAACCUGAAACCCUAUGUUUACAAGCAGAGGGAGCGAAAGCGACCUCGUACUUUUUGUAGAACGGGCCGGCGAGUUACUGUGUGCAGCGAGGUUAAGGCGUAGAGCGCCGGAGCCGAAGCGAGAGCGAGUCUGAAGAGGGCGAAAGUUGUGCGCAGUAGACCCGAAACCGGGUGACCUAUCCAUGGACAGGAUGAAGCGGCGGUAAGACGCCGUGGAGGUCCGAACCACACGUAUGUUGAAAAAUGCGGGGAUGAGCUGUGGAUAGCGGAGAAAUUCCAAUCGAACUCGGAGAUAGCUGGUUCUCCCCGAAAUAGCUUUAGGGCUAGCCUCGAUUUAGAUUACCGGGGGUAGAGCACUGAAUGGGCUAGGGGGCCACAAAGCUUACCGAACCCUAUCAAACUUCGAAUACCGGAUAAUUGAUGAACGGGAGUCAGACGGCGGGAGAUAAGUUUCGUCGUCAAAAGGGAAACAGCCCAGAUCUACGACUAAGGUCCCGAAAUCACAGUUAAGUGGAAAAGGAUGUGCAGUUGCACAGACAACCAGGAUGUUGGCUUAGAAGCAGCCACUCAUUUAAAGAGUGCGUAAUAGCUCACUGGUCGAGUGAUUGUGCGCCGAAAAUGUACCGGGGCUAAACUGUGUACCGAAGUCUAGGGAUCGUGAUAAACGAUCGGUAGGGGAGCAACGUGUGCGGGCUGAAGCCGAAGCGAAAGCGACGGUGGACUGCACGGGAGAGAGAAUGCCGGCAUGAGUAGCGAGAGCAAAGUGAGAAUCUUUGCCGUCGAAAGCCUAAGGUUUCCUGAGGAAGGCUCGUCCUCUCAGGGUAAGUCAGGACCUAAGCCGAGGACAAAAGUCGUAGGCGAUGGACAACUGGUUGAUAUUCCAGUACCACCUUUAGCGUUUGACUGAAGCAGUGACACAGAAGGAUAGACAGAGCGCGUGACUGGUAGAGCGCGUCCAAGCGAUGAGGGAGUUAAGUAGUGAAGAACGCUUAACAAUCCUGGGUCGUGAUGGGGACUGAAAAUAAGUAGGGAAGCUGUUGAAUUCACGCUGGCGAGAAAAGCUGCUAAGGAGCGAAAGGGUGCCUGUACCGCAAACCGACACAGGUAGGCGAGGAGAGAAUCCUAAGACGAGCGGGAGAACCCAUGUUAAGGAACUCGGCAAAAUGACCCUGUAACUUCGGGAUAAAGGGAGCCACGAGAGUGGCCGCAGAGAAUAGGCCCAAGCGACUGUUUACCAAAAACACAGGUCUGUGCGAAGUAGAGAUACGACGUAUACGGGCUGACGCCUGCCCAGUGCCGGAAGGUUAAGGGGAAGUGUUAGGGCAACCGAAGCACGGAACUUAAGCCCCGGUGAACGGCGGCCGUAACUAUAACGGUCCUAAGGUAGCGAAAUUCCUUGUCGGGUAAGUUCCGACCCGCACGAAAGGUGUAACGAUUUGGGCACUGUCUCAACGAGGGACCCGGUGAAAUUGAAAUACCUGUGAAGAUGCAGGUUACCCGCGACUGGACAGAAAGACCCCAUGGAGCUUUACUGUAACCUGACAUUGGGUUUUGUUGUAUUACGUACAGGAUAGGUGGGAGGCUUAGAAGGCUGGACGCUAGUCUGGCUGGAGCCGGCGUUGGGAUACCACCCUUGAUACAACGGAAUUCUAACCGAGAGAGUAACGAAAUCCGGGACAGUGUCAGGCGGGCAGUUUGACUGGGGCGGUCGCCUCCGAAAGAGUAACGGAGGCGCCCAAAGGUUCCCUCAGCGCGGCCGGAAAUCGCGCGAAGAGUGUAAAGGCAGAAGGGAGCUUGACUGCGAGCCAAACACGGCGAGCAGGUACGAAAGUAGGGCUUAGUGAUCCGGUGGUACCGAGUGGAAGGGCCAUCGCUCAACGGAUAAAAGCUACCCUGGGGAUAACAGGCUAAUCUCUCCCAAGAGUCCAUAUCGACGGGGAGGUUUGGCACCUCGAUGUCGGCUCAUCACAUCCUGGGGCUGAAGUCGGUCCCAAGGGUUGGGCUGUUCGCCCAUUAAAGUGGUACGUGAGCUGGGUUCAGAACGUCGUGAGACAGUUCGGUCCCUAUCCAUCGCGGGCGCAAGAGAUUUGAAGGGGUCUGCUCCUAGUACGAGAGGACCGGAGUGGACGGACCGCUGGUGUACCAGUUAUUCCGCCAGGAGUACAGCUGGGUAGCUACGUCCGGACUGGAUAAACGCUGAAAGCAUCUAAGCGUGAAGCCAUCCUUAAGAUGAGAUCUCUCACAGAGUAAUCUGGUAAGACACCUUAAAGAAGAUGAGGUAGAUAGGCCGGGAGUGUAAGUGCAGCAAUGUAUUGAGCUGACCGGUACUAAUAUGUCGAGGGCUUGACUUC